GAUGAGCGCUGGCGGCGUGCCUAAUACAUGCAAGUCGAGCGAACGGACGAGAAGCUUGCUUCUCUGAUGUUAGCGGCGGACGGGUGAGUAACACGUGGAUAACCUACCUAUAAGACUGGGAUAACUUCGGGAAACCGGAGCUAAUACCGGAUGAUAUCUUGAACCGCAUGGUUCAAAAGUGAAAGACGGUCUUGCUGUCACUUAUAGAUGGAUCCGCGCUGCAUUAGCUAGUUGGUAAGGUAACGGCUUACCAAGGCAACGAUGCAUAGCCGACCUGAGAGGGUGAUCGGCCACACUGGAACUGAGACACGGUCCAGACUCCUACGGGAGGCAGCAGUAGGGAAUCUUCCGCAAUGGGCGAAAGCCUGACGGAGCAACGCCGCGUGAGUGAUGAAGGUCUUCGGAUCGUAAAACUCUGUUAUUAGGGAAGAACAUAUGUGUAAGUAACUGUGCACAUCUUGACGGUACCUAAUCAGAAAGCCACGGCUAACUACGUG
rnacentral:rRNA from 1 species